UUCUACCACGUCGAUUCAUCUUGCACAAAACGAAAUAUAUCCACCAAAUCUAUGAACGUAUAGGAUUGCAAUUGUUACAAACAUCUCUUCGACACACACACACGCGCGCGCGAACACAAAAUCCAUAAGACGGACCACAUUUAUUCUUAGACAAUCGAGUUCUUUAGAUGAAAACUAAACAGAGAUUCUUUUCCUAUUUGUUUCGUGGACGGCCGGCGACUAUGUAAGCAGCGGUGGCUCGCCUGUGUUAUCACUUGGUCGCUGAAUACUUCUCAGUUCAGGUGUCUACAAAAAGACGAGAAGAAUAUACUUGAAUUAUUACACGUCUAAUUCAUCAUGUGGCAUCUCCUUGGCACACCAGUCACCCAGGACCAAGUUCCGAAGAAUGAACAGAGAGGUUACUACACCGUGACACACACCAUAGUGCCUCUAAGUCCACAGCAACCCAUCGUGUUUGUAACGGUUGUCUCUUUAAAGAAGAGGCGGAGGAGAGUCAACGGUCAUCAGCCGUGGCUCACAGAGACUCGACAUCACGGAGUAGGCUGGUGAAAAUUACUCUGAAAACGGAAAGAAGAUGAAGAUGAAGAAGACAAAAAGAAAAAAAAGGAGAUUGUAGUUGGACAAAAAAAGGUGGUGAAUGCCAAGAAUGAUGUUACUGGCUUCAAGAACAGAAAAAUGAAGAUGAAGAUGAAAAAGGAGAUUGUAUUUAGUUCGAGAAAAAAGGUGGUUAAUACCAAGGAUGAUGUUAUUGGCUUCAAGAACGGAGAGAAGAUAAAAAAAAGGAGAUUGCAGUUAGCAAGAAAAAAGAUGGUGGAAUUGGCUUUAUGACCGUGAAGAAAAUGGCGAAGAUUAAAAAGGGAGAUGGAAAAAUAAAGUAAAAAUAAAGGAUAG